AGCGAACGCUGGCGGCAGGCCUAACACAUGCAAGUCGAACGGAUCCUUCGGGAUUAGUGGCGGACGGGUGAGUAACACGUGGGAACGUGCCCUUUGGUUCGGAACAACUCAGGGAAACUUGAGCUAAUACCGGAUGUGCCCUUCGGGGGAAAGAUUUAUCGCCAUUGGAGCGGCCCGCGUCUGAUUAGCUAGUUGGUGAGGUAACGGCCCACCAAGGCGACGAUCAGUAGCUGGUCUGAGAGGAUGAUCAGCCACACUGGGACUGAGACACGGCCCAGACCCCGACGGGAGGCAGCAGGGGGGAAUUUGGGGCAAUGGGCGAAAGCCUAACGCAGCCAUGCCGGGGGAAUGAUGAAGGUCUUAGGAUUGUAAAAUUUUUUCAGCGGGGACGAUAAUGACGGUCCCCGUAAAAGAAGCCCCGGCAAACUGCUG
rnacentral:rRNA from 1 species